rnacentral:RNase_P_RNA from 1 species
GCAGCAGGUGGGUUUGUCGCUGGCAGAAAUGUCAGAGGAAAGUCCGGGCAACACAGAGCGCCAUGCUUCCUAACGGGAAGUCGUUCGUGAGGGCGAAUUAUCGUAACAGAAAAUAACCGCCGGCUUAGGCCGGUAAGGGUGAAAAGGCGGUGUAAGAGACCACCGUUCCGUUGGCGACAGCGGAAGCCGUACGAAUCAUGGGUUGCAAGAUCAAGUAUAUCGACGCACGUAGGGUUGCUCGCCCGAUGUCGAGGGGUAGAUUGCUAAAGACUGUCGGCAACGGCAGCCUUAGAUAAAUGACAAACGCUGGUUUUCCAGUACAGAACCCGGCUUAUACACCUGCUGCUUUU